AUGGCGUAGGUUAUUCUUGAGAAGCUCGUGUCUUUAAAUUCAAGUUUCAAAUUGAUUAAUUAGGAUUAUUUUGAUUUAUGAAAUUCAUUUCAUCCGAUUAAUUACUAAUCUGAUCAGCCUCAACCAAAGUGUAAAAAGAAACAACUUAAAGCUUUAUUGAUUGGUGAUUUUACUGAAGCCUCGACCAUCAAAUAAGUCAACAGUUAGACUUGUAAGUCAUUACAUAAAGGAGCACCAAAAUUUCAGGAUCUCUAUAUUGAUACCUUGCUUGGGCAAAACAAGAGGAAUACAAAGGCAAAGAAGCUAAUCACAAUCACCGUUAAACUGAGAUAAAGGAAAAGAUGAAGAUAAAGAAUCGGAAUCUGAUUAUCAGAGAGGAAUUCCUGAAUGAAAGGUUAAGGUGAAUCCAUAGUCAGAUAAAUUCAUCUACAACAAUAGAGGUUGAUCGGAAAGGAUGGAAAUAAAUGAAACAAGGAAAAAGUCUAAAUGAGUCUGGAGAGUGAUUCCAAUUACACUGGAGAGAUGAAGAACCAUGUGUGAGUAACUGAUACAUUAACAUGAUGGAGAAGCCAAGUGAACUGAUACAUUCACAAGCGAAAAAAAAGCCAAGCAGUGAAGAAAAGGAAAAGUAAACUCAACUGUUGGAGCCUUUCUGUGUCUCUGUUGUACAAAAAAAUUUUUUUUGUAACUAAUAGGAUAAAAGGGAAAGCAAAAAGGAACCAAAAUUUGGAGAGGAAAUUGUGUUGAGAAUGGAUAAAUUGCAAUGGAUGGAGAAACGGCUUCUUGAUUUUGUUAUUAGCCGCAUAAUAACCCAAGAGGAUUGUGAUUCUCAAUCGUCACAUCAAGAAAGAUCAAGAGCGACGUUUUCGCCACUUUUUCCUCCUUCCUCAUCUCUACAGACUUAUUUCACUCUCUCACUUGCCUACACUUAUUCAUUCACCUAUCAUCCUGAGAUGAUGAGAAAAAGCACACUAGAGAUUUGAAUGGAAACAGAGAGGGAAAAAGACGCAGAUUCGAUACAUCAUCAUUGUUAUCCUAACAGUUCAAUCCUUUCUUCAUCCAAAGUCUACCAAGAUAUUAGUAUUUCCCUGUUUUUUGUGUUGCUGUUGUUUCGCCUGUUUCAAUAGAAUCAAAUUCACUACUUUUUUCAUCAUUUUUACUCUCUUAUCGAGUUAACUCGGUGAAGAUGAUGAACAGGAAAGGAAAGCGAAGAGAAGAUAAAAAAGGACAAAAUAAGAGAUAAAAGGUAUUCUUAUUCAUCCCUUAUUUUUCACUAAUAUGGGAUAAAAUACAAUAAACCUUGUCUUGUUAUCUCUCAUAUUGCCUCUUCCUCUCAUCUUCCUCAUCCUCCUCAUUUCUAUCAUCUUUCUUCUCUUCCUUUUCUCUCUCCAACAUCAUCUUCUUCUCCUUUUUUAGUUAUUAUACAUUUUAUUUUCACUGCUUUAGACGUGAUUCGCAUUCUUUAUCAACAUUGACUCACCUAAAUCGGCCCAUUUUCCUCCUUCUUCAACAUCACUCUGGUCAACAAUUUCACAUUUAACAAGCAUCGACAUGAACAUUCAGAUAAAUUAUAAGCUUUAUUCAUACUCAUUUGAGUUUCAACAGAAGACCCAAAGAACAAGCAAAGGAGCAAAAGCAAAGAUUGAUUUAGUCGAGAAGGAUACAAAUAAUGAUAAUCAUAUUAAUAUAAUAACAAUAACUCAAUGGCUCAAUGAAGAUUAAGGAGAGAAGCAAAAAAUGUAUCAUAAAGAUAUAAAUGUGCUUAAAGAAGUGAAAGCAAACUAACAGUUUCAGAUUGAGUAUUUUUGGAAAUGAAAUAGGACUGAAAUUGAAUAUCUUUACUUAGUUUCCUGUUCAUCUUACCUUUUUUCCCAAUAUUUAGACACUUUUUUUUGUUCUCCAAAUGUAACCCAAAAUGGACUGGGACAAUCUCACGGGAAUUUCAGUGAUUCAAUCUUCAUCUUCUCAUCUUUAGUUUUAUGCAUAACUUGAAAUUCACUGACCAACUAAGUGAUUCUCAUUAAGAUGAGUAACACGGAAAAGUAUCAAUUCAUCUAAUAGCUAUCAAAUAUAUAUACUCGUUGAUCAAAGUUUGCCUCAUCAAAGCUUCGUCUUAAUUACUUUUUUAUCACACACAAGUUUCUUUUUUCAAGAAGUAAUACAAGUUGGAUUGAAUUUCACUGAGAAAAGGAAGACAAGAAAACACUCACAAAAUGCUGUUAAGAAGAAGAAGAAAAAAUUCAUGAAAAAGUCAAUGAUAGACAUCAUUAUUUUUUGAAUAUUAUCAUCUAUUCAUCCAUUUUCACCGAUAAUUUCACUCAAUUUCAAUGGAAACAAGUGCAAGUUUCAUUGAUUAAUGAUGAAUGCAUUGAUGGUUUUCAAGUUGAAGUCAAAAAAUUGGAGUUUGCCUUUUUGAAAGUCAACAAAUUAGCUUGUUAAAUAACAAAUGUUAAUCAAAUGAAGUUGCUCUUUGUGUUGAUCUCACAUUUGCAUUUGCCAAGUCAAACUGUUAAAAAAGGCAAAUGGAAACCUUAGUGUGUUUAUGUCACCAAAUAAUGGCAAAUUAAACCUGUUGAGAGAUGUAUAAAGAUUGAAGUGAAAAGUGAAUUAACAACAAAACAAAAUAGUCUAUUGAUUAGUUAACUGAAGUGGACUUGAAUCAAGCAACUGUUCAAUUUGAUGCGAAACUAUUGAUGUAAUAACAUUGGUUGACUUUUAACAUGAGAGCAAAAAGAUGGAUUGGAAUGGAAAGAUGAAAUUACUUUUUGUCUUGCUGUUGGUUCAUCUAUUUUUUUCCUGUUGUUCAACUGAUUCAGGAUAAGUGCUAUACAAAUCAAAACAAGAAGAAUCUCAUCAUUGAAGGAGUCAAAAAAAGGCAUCAAGAUGAGGAACAAAAAAAGAGGAAGAAGACGAAGAAGAGAGCAAAAAAAAGAAGAAGAAGAAAGAAACUCAUUUUUGCAUUAUAAGCAUCUCAUUGUGAUUGGCAACAAAAUGUACCAGGGUUGACUUUUAAUUUUUAGCAAAUCAUUUGAACCAUUGAACAGUUUGAAAAUGACAAGCAAUGAAAAGCCAUUUCUAAAGUAAACUUUACCAUUCAAUUGUAGCAUAAUUAUCAGUCGACAGUUCAACACCAGAUUAACCUCAUUAACUUGAAUAUUGAUUGAAAUUAUCGAGAAAUGCUUUUCAAAGUGAAACAUGAACAAACACAAAAAAUCAACUUUGAAUAAUAUUUUCAAUUUUUCAUGGAUUUUCGGAAAAGAUGCAAUUGUAUGCUCAGUUUGGACAAAGGCCAUAACAAGAUCAAGCAACCCGACUCGAAAUUUCUUGGAUUUGCAAUUCGAAAUUAAUUUCUAUCCAAGAUUGAAAAAUGUAAAUUAUCGUGAAAAUGAGAAGGAGUAAAGUAUCAAUUAUCCGAGGUAAAAUAUGGACUAAUAUAUCCAAAAAAUUUACCGAAAGACCCGGCAAAAAUCUUUUGGUCGACUUGAAGAAAAAAUUACGUAAAGCAUCGAGAGCUGGGCCAUUUUCAACAAUUAGAUAACCAACUUGUAGCUUGAUUUCAGCAAUAUCAUUUUAUAAAAAUCCACCGAAUUGCCUGUUUUCAUUAUUUAAUUAUUAAGUCUCAAAGUUUGUGGCUCUACUUUUGUUCCACCCUUUAAAUGUUCCAAUAUCCAGAUUUUGUCACUGAAUUUGCAGAACUCGACAAUUAGUUGGAUUAGAGUUGUAAUUCAAAAUUGAGUUGUCCAUUCGUGAGCAACUCAACAUUUUGUCAAUCUGUAUGAAGAGUAUUUUUGGCUCAACAAACACACAAGUAGUUGUUGCACCUUUGAUAUUGAUGAUGUUUUAUAACCUUUUCAUCUCAUCACGCCAUCAAAGUCAUGUUUGAACAGUAAAUUGUAUUUCUUCUAUUCGAUGAUUCAGUUUACUCAGAAAGUUUCAUCUCUUCAUUCAUUUCCUUUGUAAUAACAAUCCAAAUUUACCACGCAAUCAUCUCAACUCAGCAAAGACUAAAUAAGAAAAAUUUUGACAAAAGACAAAAAUGGACUUUAAAUUUUUCAUCAAAUUGACAGUAAAACUCAUCACAAAAUAAUAAUUUCUUACAAUCAAAAGAAAAGUCUAAAAAUCUCUCGAGAAAAUGAAUAUUUGAUGAACAUUUCCAACAUUUCCUUGAAGCUUGAAAGUUUUCUAAUUAUUCUUGUCAUUUCACAGUUUAUUGAAGCCCAAUGUGCCACCAAAAGUCAUGGCGAGUGAAAAGGCAAUUUAAACCAAUAUCCAGACAGAUCGAUCCAGAGUGACUUUUAAUUUAACAAACAAUCCAUCACAGUUUUGACUUUGCAAUCAACUUUGUCUUGGCAACAGCAGUCAACAGUAAGAAAAAAAUGGUUAAUUUCAAAUUAAAUUGAACACCUUCUGGUCUUGACUCUAUCACAGUGAAGCUCGCUGCACGCGCGUCAUCAUCAUCAUUAUCAUCAUCAUCAACAUUCUCACCAUAAUCCGGCUUCCUCUCGACCCUUUCCUCUGGAAAAAUGUAGUUGCUUAAACCAUUAAAGGAAGCCAUCAAAUGGAUUAGAAUGGAUUCCAUCCAAUCUAGAUCUCUUCUCCUUCCCUCUUCUCAUCCUCAUCCAAUCUUCAUUCCUCCUCUUUGCCACAAGUGUUGAUCAUUUAACUUACUUUUAAAUAACAGAGAGUCAAGAUAAAUACAGAAAUAGACAGUUUGAGUGAAAAAAAGGAGGCUUGAACAGUGAAAAUGUUAACAAUGGCGUUGUUAUUAGUCACUCCAAUGAUUCCAUUAUAUUAAUAAUCUAGGUUCGCACCAAUCGGUAAACCGAUCUGAAACCAAUAUAUAAGAGAAGAAGAAGAAGAAGAAGAAGAUGAAAAAAGCCAUUUUUUAUCAUCAUCUUCUGAUCCUUUUUCCUCUUCUUUAUGUAGAUGAUGAUGACUCGUCAACUGAUUUCUUACUCAUUGCCUUGCCUGUUUACCGUUCAUCUUGAACCUUCAACUGUUAACCAAACUGUUGUGUUUCCCUUUUAACCAUUGCAAAAGUCACCAACUGUGUAAAUGAAAAAUACAAUCAAUUUAUUAUCAUUUUUAUUAUUUACGCGUGAAUCAAUCAGAUGAUUAUUUCCAUACAAUAUUGUAUUUAACAUUGUAAUACAAUGUUUCCUUUUUUUGCCCCUAACAUUGAUCAACUUUGUGUGCCAUUGCACCAACCAUUCAGAUAAUGUAGACAUUAAUCCUUAUUUUUACACUUAAUUUUCAUACAAAAAAGUAAUCAUUUCCAAUGAAACUGUUUAAAUAUUUGAUUAGCAUUUCA